rnacentral:misc_RNA from 1 species
UCCUCUUUUCUUUUCUUCUUUUCCACUGAGAAUCCAAUUUAUUCUUAAAGAAAUUCGCAAAGCUGUGACUCCUUCUUCCCUCAACUUCAUUCCAUUUUCCUUGCUCACUUUCAAAUUCCUGGACAAAGCGAGAGUCCCAUUCAAAGGAUUCAUCUAGGGGCGACAUGACUGAGGAUCCAAGCAAGAAAGAUAAGAAAGAUGCUCCUGCAAUGGAAGGAAAGGAGAGCGAUGAAGGGAAUUCCAAAGAGUUGAUCCAAGUCAAUGAUAUUAACCAUAAUAUUGAAAUUGAAGACGACUCGGAUUAUGAGAAGCUUAUUGCCCUAAGCUUAAAUGCUACUGUUGCCGAGCGCCUUAAUAACAUAUAUAAAACUGGUAAAUUGUCCCAUUCAGAUUUGGAUGGCAGAGCUUUGGAUGCGCUUAAAGAAUUUGCAGUGCCAGGUGCAAUUGCUGUUCUCAAUCAAUUUCAAGAUUCCAAUCUAGAACACGUCACCAACAAGUCAGCCUAUUUGUGCGGAGUCAUGAAAACCUAUCGUCAGAAGUCUCGGUCUGUAGCCGUAAAUGGUACUGGAUCCUCUCAAGCGUCCAAUGAUGUAUCUAGUAACUCAUUAAAUGGGUGUUUGGUGAAGGGACCAGAUGAGCAAAAGAUAAAGGAAAUUUUGGAACGAACAGGAUACACAUUAGAUGUUACUACUGGACAGAGAAAAUUUGGAGGGCCACCUCCUAACUGGGACGGGCCAGUUCCAGGCAAUGGCUGUGAAGUUUUUUGUGGUAAAAUUCCUCGUGAUCUUUAUGAAGAUGAACUUAUCCCAUUAUUUGAAAAAUGUGGUACAAUUUGGGACCUAAGACUCAUGAUGGAUCCUAUGACUGGACUUAAUCGAGGGUAUGCCUUUAUUACAUUCACAGAAAAGGGAGCCGCCCAAGAGGCUAUGAAAAAGCUAAAUGAUCAUGAAUUACGGGGAGGCAGACGAAUUGGUGUUACUAUUUCUUUCAAUAACCACAGACUUUUUAUUGGAAACAUUCCCAAGCAUUGUGAUCGUGACGAACUCAUAGAAGAGUUCUCAAAGCACACACCCAAUCUUAGGGAAGUCAUUAUAUAUAGCUCUCCUGACGACAAAAAGAAGAAUCGCGGUUUUUGUUUCUUAGAGUAUGAAUCGCAUAAAGCGGCGAGCUUGGCUAAACGUCGUUUGGAAACAGGGAGAAUUAAAGUAUGGAGCUGUGAUAUUAUUGUAGACUGGGCCGACCCCCAGGAAGAGCCAGAUGAGGAUACUAUGGCACAGGUUAAAGUAUUAUACGUCCGAAAUUUGACUGUACAUGUUACUGAGGAAAGGCUAAGAGAAACCUUUGAAACCUUCGGUGAAGUUAAUAGAGUCAAAAAAAUUAAGGAUUACGGAUUUGUUCAUUUCGAAGAGAGACAGCAUGCCAUUAAGGCUAUGGAAGAACUUGGUGGUAAGGUUCUUGGAGGAGCCAAAAUUGAAAUUUCUUUGGCUAAGCCUCCCUUUGAUAAAAAGAAGAAAGAAGAAAUGUUGAGAAAAAGAGAACAAAGAAUGAUGAAGUCUAUGGCAGUGUCUUUCCCUCCAUUUCCCUCAUUUACUCCUCCUUACGGGCAUAUGGCUGCUGGGAUGUAUGGGUUUGGUCAGAAUGGCUCCUGGGGACGAGGAGGUAGCCAUGGAAACAACAGAGGGGGGAAUACGUGGUAAUCCUGGGUGGAACUGGGGAGGAUGGAAUGAAGCCAAUUGGCAACAACGAGGCUGUCCUCCAAUGAAUGCGUGGAUGGGUGCUUCUGCGCCAAAUGAUUCAUGGGGUCCUGGUGGUAUUCGGGGAUAUCAUCCUAACAAUGCUGGUUAUGUCAAUUCUCAAAGUGGAAAUGGUAUUAACAAUAAUGGCCAUUUCACAGGCAACUCUAGAGGAAGGCAGCAGCAGAGAACGGGCGGCUACACCCGGUGAAAAUGGUGCUGAAUUUACAUAUUCGAUGAUGGGUUUCUUUAGCAACCACUAAAAUGAAGAAGAAUGGACUUUAAAAAUAUAAAAUAUUUGAAGUAUUUCGCCUCUUUAAAAAUUAUGUUAUCUAUUUAAUCUCUUUUAUUACUAUUUUUUUUUUCUGGCUGAAAAUUAGUAAAUGUUAAGAUUUUUUCAUUAUUGUAACUAUUUUUGUUUGUUAUGGACAUUUCAAUUGCACUUCAGAAAAUUGAGUAAAUGUGAAACAAGAAAUUAGACGUGAAAAGCUUAUAAAAAUAAUUCUCAAAAAUCUCUAUGGCAAUCUUCUCUUAAAUUUACACGUUAUUCAUACAUGCACAUUAACUAUUUAAAUCAAUUGAGCGAUCAAAUUUUUUCCCACCAAAAAUGGAUAUGAGUGUUGUAUUAACCCAAUCGAGUUCUUUUUUUUUCGUUGGAAGUUGUCGAAUGAAGCUCGACGGACAAGAAAGUAUGUACAUGCGCCCCCUAUCGAGAUGUUCGCCAAGUACAAAGAUACCGGCUUCACUUCGAGAGUUUUAAGUGUCUAAUACUUAGCUCUUAGGAUGAAAACGCCAAUACAAACGACGACGUGAUAUGAACUUUUCCGAGUUUGACAAGAUGCUAUCGCUAUUAAAAUUUGAAAUAGGAUAUAUUGAAUAUAAAUAUGUGUAAAAGUUAUAUUUAAAAUAUAUAUAUAUAUAUAUUGAUAAAUUUAUUUUUGUAUACACUUUGAAAUUGUGUAGAAAGGCCGUUUUCCCUGUUAUAAAUAUGUGUUUGCCCCUCCCUAUUAUCUAUCUCCCCACUAUAAUUAUGUAAUCUUUAUCCUCACCCAUCCACCCAUCUCCUUCCCCAAUACCUACCUUUCUCGAUUUUUUUCCUUUCUACUGUUUGUUUUUGGAAUGGAUUUUCUCCUAGUGUUGUUUAAACCAAAAAAAUAUUUACGAGAUUUAUUUAAAGUUUAUUUCAAAUAUGACUUGAAGGAUUUGAAAGAUAUAAUAAGAAUUAAACAUUUUUGUUUCAUUUUGGAUUAAACUCUUUUUGAAGAAUUAUUGAAAUGUCAAAAAUAAUAAUCCGGUAUAAAUUAAGGGUUUUGUAUGUUUUAAGUUAUAUUCUACAUUUUUCGAUAUUCUUUCUUAAUUUUUGAUGUAGUAAAGUAUAUAAAAAACUGAAAAGAAUUCAAUUUAAAAAAUUAAUAAAAAAACUUGAAAAAUAUAGAAAUUCCAAAAAAAAAAAAAAAAUCUAAUAAUUAAUAUUAAUAAUAAAAUGUACGUAUUUUAAUAGUUAAAAAUUUACAGUCCUGUCUUUAAAACUUAUGCACCUUUUUUUCUCCUUCAAGUUGAUUUUCAAAGUAAAACAGUUUGUAGCAAUUAAUAAACAUUUUUUUCUUUACAUUUGUUUUGUAAUGAAGGCUCCAUUUAUUCAAAAAAAAAAAAUUAACUGCUGUUUUCCUCUAAUAUAUUUGUAUUUUUUUUUUUUUUAUGGAAAAAGAAAUCUGUCUGAUCAAAAACUCCUCCAACUAUUAAACACCUAUGUCCAUUCUUGAUAGAUUUUAAGUCUACAAUAAAAUAUUAAAAAAGUA